rnacentral:rRNA from 1 species
CAGGACGAACGCUGGCGGCGUGCUUAACGCAUGCAAGUCGAACGGAAAGGCCCUGCUUUGUGGGGUGCUCGAGUGGCGAACGGGUGAGUAACACGUGAGUAACCUGCCCUUGACUUUGUGAUAACUUCAGGAAACUGGGGCUAAUACCGGAUAGGAGCUCCUGCUGCAUGGUGGGGGUUGGAAAGUUUCGGCGGUUGGGGGAUGGACUCGCGGCUUAUCAGCUUGUUGGUGGGGUAGUGGCUUACCAAGGCUUUGACGGGUAGCCGGCCUGAGAGGGUGACCGGCCACAUUGGGACUGAGAUACGGCCCAGACUCCUACGGGAGGCAGCAGUGGGGAAUAUUGCACAAUGGGCGGAAGCCUGAUGCAGCAACGCCGCGUGCGGGAUGACGGCCUUCGGGUUGUAAACCGCUUUCGCCUGUGACGAAGCGUCGAGUCGACGGUAAUGGGUAAAGUAAGCACCGGCUAACUACGUGCCAGCCGCCGC